GCUUCGUCGUUGAGACGGCCGCCGGAUCUCCGUUGUUGUCGCUGGUCGCCGUUGUCGUCCCUUCUUGGUUGCCGUCGCAAACGGACUUCAUGGGAGCCGUCCAGCCCAAGGUUGCUAUCGCACGAGGGCUUGGGUUGGGAUUUACGUUUUGGAGCGACGGCGUGCGGGAUUUGGCAGCAGAGGAUCAGAGGAUUUGGGGCAGCACGAAACGACUUGGGGACCUCGGUUGAGGAUCGUGGAGGACAGACUUUUGGGGGGUUUGCUGCAAAAAUAAAUGGUUGUUAGGUCCAAAAGCGGGCGGCUAAUUGUAAAUGUUUCUGUUGCUGCACGGGAGGCGCAUGAUUUAGUGUUAAUGGCUGAGAUCACAGGGAUACAUGGAUACACAAUAAGCUCGGAUUCACGAGAUAUGCUGCCAACGUCCUUAUAUGCUUCUGCGGAGGCAACAUGGACCCUGCCGUCCACCAUUGGCGAUGACCUCCCACACUCCUAGGGCUUUGUAUGUAUUACCUUCAUUCCUAAAUAUAUGACGUUUUGGCAGUUCAAUUUGAACCGCCAAAACAUCGUAUAUUUAGGAACAAGAAAUAUUUGUUUUUGAGGGGAGUAGUAUAUUUCUUUUGUGUAUGUGUGUGUGUUUUUUUGCCGGAGGAGUGCUUCUUGUGUCUUUUGGUGUGUUCAGCUUAGGUGGAUGGCACGUGGCAACCUUCUCAUAAAAAAGAAUAAAACAAAUGGCGAGAUUCGCACCUAAAUCAAACCCCAGCCUCCAGUCCGCCGCCGCCGCCCACCCCCGUCACCGGAGUUCCGCCCGCCGCCUCCGCUCAUCGCCGAAGGCCGCCCGCGGCGCCCGCAUUUGCCUCACCGCCGGUAUGUAUCCGCCUUGCUCGCCACCCGUCCGACGCCUCACCGCUUCUUCUGCAGCACGCACCCUAACGGCGGCUGCACGAUCUCGGCCACAAACCGCCCGACAUCCUCUCCGACCCCAUCCCCAACCCACUGAAUCCUAAGCCCAGGUGUGAUUUGCUUGAUCUGCUCUUGUGCAACUUUCAGGCAAAAAAAUAAUAGUAUUCCUAGUAUGCAAUCAACUCAAUGUACCCCAGUUUUGGGAUAUUUUUAGGGGUUCAAUUCAUGUUAGUUCAUCCUGUAAGGAUCAUGGUCUUUGGCCCAGUUCAUACUUCAUAGUGGAACUUAUUCAAUUUUCCAACUUGAAUAAGCAGCCAACAGCUUUGGGAGUUGGCUAUUAGCCAUCUUUUUGACGCCAUAAUUUUCGCAACCUGAACCAGCUUCUGUGAAGUUGUAACUUUGGCCUCUUUCUGUAAAUUCAUGCCUGAAAUAGCCAUGCUUUUUCCUGUGAAUCAUUGUUUUUGCAUUGAUGGUUGUUAAAUGGAGAACCGUGUGUGAUUGUUAACCCCUCUAUAUCUACUCCUACAUUCACAGCAAGACUGACUGAGAAGAUUCGCUCAAAUCAGUGUGGCAGGCCAUUGACAUGGAGGCGAUUUUCGCGAGCACUGAUCGCCUUCUCCAGGUAGCCACGGACUCCCAUGCGCAGCCCAGCGCUCUGGGACGCCUCCGACGGGUGCUGGAUGGCGCCGCGGCGCGUUGCAUCUCCGACGCCACCUUCACCGACUGGCUCAAAGUGACGUUGGACGACUUAAUUGUCCACGUUGACAAACUUGACAACUUCACAAGGACGGUUGACAACAUCACUGCUCGCCUCCGGUCCACGUGCCACCCUAAAGGCAGCCACCGCGGCGUCUCCCCAGCUGGCCAACUCGCCGGCCUCCAUGGAAAUGAUCUCUUUCGCACACUGAUGACCCUGCAACUGCCUGAGGCUGCGCCUGCGGAGUUCUUCCUGGAGGCCGCACUCGCUGCGCAGAGCCUCAUCAUGCAUGACCAGCUCGACCUUUUCAUCGAACUCAGUGAGAAGGUCAUCUUGGAGGGCGACACUAUGGCGGUCAACGAGUACAACCUCAUGGCCUUAAUGGACCACAGGAAAACUUUGGUGAAGUUCAUUCACGAGCACAUUAAACUCUCCUACGCCGCUGCCACUUCACGUACUUUGCCACCCACUGGCCCAGCGAAGUAAAAGCUUGAUUGCCAUAACUAAGCUAGCUAGUUGCAAGUAAGACAAAGAAGGGUCGUGAUGGAUCCUUAGUUGGUUUCCGUAUGUAGUCUGCUGCAUCGUCUUUAUCGAGCCAAAGAGCAAGAACAAUUACUUUAUUUAUAUAUUAUGCUACUUGUCAGCGGUUGAGUCUGUCUGAAGUACUAGUAAUAGUUGCUAUCAAACUGCGCCCUGUGUGCUUGGCCUGCUAUAAUUAAUAUUGUACAAUGCAAUUUGUUUGGCAUCAAGUUCUGUUAUCAAUAGUCUAUAUGUUUCUUUUGUUGUGUUGCAUUACCUGCCUUCUAUUUUACUUCAUGCACCAUGCAUCUGUAUAUUUAUGCUCUCCUUUAUUUUUUGAUGAUGGUACAAACGAAUGUUCACACGCUGACAUGAACAGAUUAACAUUGAUGAACAAAUGUCUUAAGUGUUUGUUCCAUAACUGUUUAAUCUUCCAAGCCUGCUAACCAUGGUUUUAGAUAACAAACACAUGCCAAGUAUGUGCUGUCAUAAUUGCCCUCAAGUAUUUUCAGGCUGCCGACUGCUUUAUGCUAUGCAAAGUUGUAUGGAUUCAGGUGAACUACAGAAAACAGAGGACAAGAACAGGCUCUGAAUGUAUGUUCUUCAGGAGCUACAGAUAGCAAAUUUGUUUGCUGGCUCCAACGGUUUGCAUUGCGCAACCAGUGUGUUGUCAAGAUGCCACCACAGAGCUCAGCAACGCAUUCUCAACCUCCGGAGAGGCAUUUCUCCUGAGCAAGCACAUGAUAUAUAUACUCCAUCACUCUGGCAUCACAAGGCAGUGUGAUCUUGCCAUCGCUAGCGAAGCCAAAUUCCUCCUGGGACAUCUUCAGGGGCUUGCUGAAGAUCGUCGUGCUGAGGUACACCAAUGGUACCUCGACGCGGCUCUCAUCAACCGUGUACAUGACACAGUGGCCCUUGACCGCUACAGAGAUGCAGCACUCUGUUUCUUCUAUGGCUGUUGCUGUCAGCCUCUUCCGCUUGCUGCCAUCCUCUGCCACUUCUUUGCCAAUUGAGCAAGUCGCUUGGCGCUGAUCAUGGUUGUUUCUGGGUCUUGUUUUUCAGCUAGAAAUUUGAAUAAGUGAGGUAUGGAUGCUGUAAUGCUCUGUUGGUGCUGUAUGAGCUGAUGGUUUUGAGCAUAUCCGUUUGCUGAAUUUAUAGCCAAGCGGAAGGACAUCGUGACGUUGAAGUGUAGUUGUAAUUACAAAAGAUGGCAAGGGACAUGGCCAGUGAUCAGCACAUACAGUGUUGUGUGAUGGGGGAACAUGCUGGAUCCAACAUAGCAUAGACCAUUGGUUUGCUCUCAUAUCAUUUGUCAGUUUGGCAUGCUGGUGAGGGACAAGGCGGUGAUCUGUUCUGUGAUUUGGAUGUGGAUGGAUCAGGUUGAGAUAUCAUCAGUGUCAAUGAUCAUGCUGCUAUCUGAAGCUCUGAACCGACUGAAAGGAAAACGUGUAGGACUAAUGAUCAGGAACUCGUUCAUGGGUUGUUGAUCAGUCAGAUGCGUUCAUCUGGCUGAAUCCACUUGCUCAACAAAUGUCGCUGUUUAUUCUGCUUGUGGUCUGCUCCACGCCGAGCAUCUCAUGUGGUCUCCAAUUCACUCCUUUUCCCCCCAUUUUGACUUCUAGGUCAGAAAGAAAGAAGUACACACUCUGUUCUGAAAGGUAUAUUUAAUUUCAUAACUUGAUUCUUCACAAAACU